UUUUUUUGAUCAAACUAAGUUUUAUAUUAAGCUCUUAGGCUCCAUCAAAGGAGGAAGUGUUACAAGCCAAAGACAACAAUGCCAAAAUCGCUAGAAUUACCGCUGCUACAUGAGCUAAACAGAUAACAUACAUAACAUGGAUAGUAGCAAACACUACACUUAAUCCACUAAAACGAGGGAUGAGGAUGAGCCCUUGAAUCUCGACGCCAAUAAAGGUAAAAUGUAAAGUGAAGCUUUGGGAACUAUAGA
rnacentral:lncRNA from 1 species